GAACCCCUGUGAGGGGAGUGAAAUAGAACCUGAAACCGUGUACGUACAAGCAGUAGGAGCACCUUCGUGGUGUGACUGCGUACCUUUUGUAUAAUGGGUCAGCGACUUAUAUUCAGUGGCAAGGUUAACCGUAUAGGGGAGCCGUAGCGAAAGCGAGUCUUAACUGGGCGCUCAGUCUCUGGAUAUAGACCCGAAACCGGGUGAUCUAGCCAUGGGCAGGUUGAAGGUUGAGUAACAUCAACUGGAGGACCGAACCGACUAAUGUUGAAAAAUUAGCGGAUGACUUGUGGCUAGGGGUGAAAGGCCAAUCAAACUCGGAGAUAGCUGGUUCUCCCCGAAAGCUAUUUAGGUAGCGCCUCGGACGAAUACUACUGGGGGUAGAGCACUGUUAAGGCUAGGGGGUCAUCCCGACUUACCAACCCUUUGCAAACUCCGAAUACCAGUAAGUACUAUCCGGGAGACACACGGCGGGUGCUAACGUCCGUCGUGGAGAGGGAAACAACCCAGACCGCCAGCUAAGGUCCCAAAGUAUUGCUAAGUGGGAAACGAUGUGGGAAGGCUCAGACAGCUAGGAUGUUGGCUUAGAAGCAGCCAUCAUUUAAAGAAAGCGUAAUAGCUCACUAGUCGAGUCGGCCUGCGCGGAAGAUGUAACGGGGCUAAGCAAUACACCGAAGCUGCGGCAAUGUCUUUUAGACAUUGGGUAGGGGAGCGUUCUGUAAGCCGUUGAAGGUGAAUCGUAAGGUUUGCUGGAGGUAUCAGAAGUGCGAAUGCUGACAUGAGUAACGACAAAGGGGGUGAAAAACCUCCUCGCCGGAAGACCAAGGGUUCCUGUCCAACGUUAAUCGGGGCAGGGUGAGUCGACCCCUAAGGUGAGGCCGAAAGGCGUAAUCGAUGGGAAACGGGUUAAUAUUCCCGUACUUCUGACUAUUGCGAUGGGGGGACGGAGAAGGCUAGGUGGGCCAGGCGACGGUUGUCCUGGUUCAAGUGCGUAGGCUUGAGAGUUAGGUAAAUCCGGCUCUCUCUAAGGCUGAGACACGACGUCGAGCUACUACGGUAGUGAAGUCAUUGAUGCCAUGCUUCCAGGAAAAGCCUCUAAGCUUCAGAUAGUCAGGAAUCGUACCCCAAACCGACACAGGUGGUCGGGUAGAGAAUACCAAGGCGCUUGAGAGAACUCGGGUGAAGGAACUAGGCAAAAUGGUACCGUAACUUCGGGAGAAGGUACGCUCUUGAUGGUGAAGUCCCUCGCGGAUGGAGCUGACGAGAGUCGCAGAUACCAGGUGGCUGCAACUGUUUAUUAAAAACACAGCACUGUGCAAAAUCGCAAGAUGACGUAUACGGUGUGACGCCUGCCCGGUGCCGGAAGGUUAAUUGAUGGGGUUAGCGCAAGCGAAGCUCUUGAUCGAAGCCCCGGUAAACGGCGGCCGUAACUAUAACGGUCCUAAGGUAGCGAAAUUCCUUGUCGGGUAAGUUCCGACCUGCACGAAUGGCGUAAUGAUGGCCACGCUGUCUCCACCCGAGACUCAGUGAAAUUGAAAUCGCUGUGAAGAUGCAGUGUACCCGCGGCUAGACGGAAAGACCCCGUGAACCUUUACUACAGCUUGGCACUGAACAUUGAACCUACAUGUGUAGGAUAGGUGGGAGGCUAUGAAGACGUGACGCCAGUUGCGUUGGAGCCGUCCUUGAAAUACCACCCUUGUAUGU
rnacentral:rRNA from 1 species